UACGGAGGGGGCUAGCGUUGUUCGGAAUUACUGGGCGUAAAGCGCGUGUAGGCGGUUGUCCAAGUCGGGUGUGAAAGCCUUGAGCUCAACUCAAGAAAUGCACUCGGUACUGGGUGACUAGAGGACCGGAGAGGAUAGUGGAAUUCCCAGUGUAGUGGUGAAAUACGUAGAGAUUGGGAAGAACACCAGUGGCGAAGGCGGCUAUCUGGACGGUUUCUGACGCUAAGACGCGAAAGCGUGGGGAGCAAACAGG
rnacentral:rRNA from 1 species